rnacentral:rRNA from 1 species
AUUGAACGCUGGCGGCAGGCCUAACACAUGCAAGUCGAACGAGUGGCGGACGGGUGAGUAAUGUCUGGGAAACUGCCUGAUGGAGGGGGAUAACUACUGGAAACGGUAGCUAAUACCGCAUACCAUCAGAUAUGCCCAGAUGGGAUUAGCUAGUUGGGGGGGUAACGGCUCACCAAGGCGACGAUCCCUAGCUGGUCUGAGAGGAUGACCCGCCACACCGGAACGGAUACACGGUCCAGACUCCUACGGGAGGCAGGCGUGGGGAAUAUUGCAACAUUGGCGCAAGCCUGAUUGAGCCAUGCCGCGGGGUGUAAGAAGGCCUUCGGGUUGUAAAGUACUUUCAGCGGGGAGGCGUUACCCGCAGAAGAAGCACCGGCUAACUCCGUGCCAGCCGCCGCGGUAAUUC